GGGUUUGAUCCUGGCUCAGAACGAACGCUGGCGGCAGGCUUAACACAUGCAAGUCGAGCGGGCGUCGUCAGACGUCAGCGGCGGACGGGUUAGUAACGCGUGGGAACGUGCCCUUUGCUCUGGAAUAGCCCUGGGAAACUGGGGGUAACACCGGAUGUGCCCUGAGGGGGAAAGGUUUACCGGCAAGGGAUCGGCCCGCGUCCGAUUAGGUAGUUGGUGGGGUAACGGCUCACCAAGCCGUCGAUCGGUAGCUGGUUUGAGAGGAUGAUCAGCAACACUGGGACUGAGACACGGCCCAGACUCCUACGGGAGGCAGCAGUGGGGAAUCUUAGACAAUGGGGGCAACCCUGAUCUAGCCAUGCCGCGUGGGUGAUGAAGGCCUUAGGGUCGUAAAGCCCUUUCGCCGGGGAAGAUAAUGACGGUACCCGGUAAAGAAGCCCCGGCUAACUCCGUGCCAGCAGCCGCGGUAAUACGGAGGGGGCUAGCGUUGUUCGGAAUGACUGGGCGUAAAGCGCGCGUAGGCGGACCUGCAAGUUGGGGGUGAAAUCCCGGGGCUCAACCCUGGAACGGCCUUCAAGACUGCCGGUCUUGAGUUCGAGAGAGGUGGGUGGAAUUCCGAGUGUANAGGUGAAAUUCGUANAUAUUCGGAGGAACACCGGUGGCGAANGCGGCCCACUGGCUCGACACUGACGCUGANGUGCNAAAGCGUGNNGAGCAAACAGGAUUANAUACCCUGGUA
rnacentral:rRNA from 1 species